UGUGGAGUGAGUCUCAGGACCUUGACAUGGGAGGAACAAAACUUUUCUUGCUUUUUUGGUGCACCCUGGGCUGAAAUAAGAAAACCACCAGGAGUGAGUCUUCAAAGCAGAGUCAACCCAGGUGAGCGGAGUGGUGGGGAGGGUUUAAAAAAAACACAGAUGGAGAGGAGCACGUUCUCUCUCUCAGAUAAGAUCUCAUCCAGUGGGGAGAACCAUGCGUGCUCAGGAUGGGAUGCCUGCCUCAGAAUCCCCUGGAAUAUGGAUUUCCACUCCACCCAUCUUCUGCUACAGCAAUGGAAUUGGUUUCUAUCAAGGUGAGACUGAGGUGCUGGGCAGGUUGACCAUCACCUCCCAAGUGAUGAAGCAGCUGGCUGGGGAUGUGGAUGGGAAGGAGCUCAGAGGCUGCCCCAACCUUCAAUUUUUCUUUAAUGUUGGUUUCCCUGUUAGAAUGAAAGCUCAGUGAAGCACAUCUUGUUCACAAUUGCAUUACCACCACCGCGUACCAUGACAGGCUCACAGGAGGCAUUUAUUAAGUGAUUGCUGGCUGAUGUCCUCACGCUUCCACCUAUGACCACCUGUGGCUUAUUCCCAUUUUCUAGGGGAGCCCCUGAGGCUCAGAAGGGGGAGAUGAUUUGCUCAAGGCCAUGCUGGUGGAAAAUGAAAAAGCUGGGUUUGAACCCAGGGCUCUAUCCCAC
rnacentral:lncRNA from 1 species